rnacentral:rRNA from 1 species
AUGGCCGGCGCUGACCCCACGAGGACGUCGUGGCCGGAGGUGGUGGGCAUCCCGGCGACGCCGGCGGUGAUGAAGAUCAACCACGACAGGUCCGACGUCGCCAUCGAGGUGCUCCCGGACGGCGUCAAGGUGCCCAAGGGUUUCAACGCCAAGCGCGUCCGCGUCUUCUUCGACGCCAAGGAGUCCCAGGGCCUCGUCGUCAGGACCCCCGUCGUCGGCUAG